CCUACGGGGGGCAGCAGUGAGGAAUAUUGGUCAAUGGACGAGAGUCUGAACCAGCCAAGUAGCGUGAAGGAUGACUGCCCUAUGGGUUGUAAACUUCUUUUAUAUGGGAAUAAAAUGUUCCACGUGUGGGAUUUUGUAUGUACCAUAUGAAUAAGGAUCGGCUAACUCCGUGCCAGCAGCCGCGGUAAUACGGAGGAUCCGAGCGUUAUCCGGAUUUAUUGGGUUUAAAGGGAGCGUAGGUGGAUUGUUAAGUCAGUUGUGAAAGUUUGCGGCUCAACCGUAAAAUUGCAGUUGAAACUGGCAGUCUUGCGUACAGUAGAGGUGGGCGGAAUUCGUGGUGUAGCGGUGAAAUGCUUAGAUAUCACGAAGAACUCCGAUUGCGAAGGCAGUUCACUGGACUGCAACUGACACUGAGGCUCGAAAGUGUGGGUAUCAAACAGGAUUAGAUACCCCAGUAGUC
rnacentral:rRNA from 1 species